rnacentral:tRNA from 1 species
UGGCAGUUAGUCUAAACAAGACAAUUAAUUUCGACUUAAUAAAUCUUAGAUUUAACUAAGACUACCAA